CAGUACAUGAGCAUAGAUAGAGAGACAUCGAAACAACAUUGGUUUAUAGUUUAUAUUGCCAUAAUCGAUAGAGCAUCGAUAAAUAGUUCAGUAAAAGAUAUUGAAAAGUCAUGGAUGUAUGGUUUACUGGGAAAUUUUGACGUGGUGAUUGAAAAGUAGCCUAGUGGAUUUUUAGUUGACCGCGCGACAACGUUUGAACUGUCCGGCGGGAGAUCAUUUUGAGCAACGGUUCAGUCAGACCAACCGUGUUCAGUUCUCUGUCAAGUUCGCCGCUCCACCUUAAUGGUGCCGCUUCACUCAACUGGAUGGUCAGGCUGACUGCAACCGUAGGCCUACUGAAUAGAUGGCAGGGAAGCACAGCACACGGGAAUUUAUAAAUGAAGAAGAGUGAAUAAAUGCACUUGCUUUUCAAACUGAUAA